GUCCACGCCCUAAACUAUGUCAACUAGUUGUCGGGCCUUAAUAGGCUUGGUAACGUAGCUAACGCGUGAAGUUGACCGCCUGGGGGAGUACGGUCGCAAGAUUAAAAACUCAAAGGAAUUGACGGGGACCCGCACAAGCGGUGGAUUAUGUGGAUUAAUUCGAUGCAACGCGAAAAACCUUACCUACCCUUGACAUGUUAGAAAGUUUUCAGAGAUGAAUUCGUGUCCGAAAGGAAAUCUGAACACAGGUGCUGCAUGGCUGUCGU
rnacentral:rRNA from 1 species